GAUGAACGCUGACAGAAUGCUUAACACAUGCAAGUCAACUUGAACUUCGGUUUGGGUGGCGGACGGGUGAGUAACGCGUAAAGAACUUGCCUCACAGCUAGGGACAACAUUUGGAAACGAAUGCUAAUACCCGAUAUUAUGAUUUUAGGGCAUCCUAGAAUUAUGAAAGCUAUAUGCGCUGUGAGAGAGCUUUGCGUCCCAUUAGCUAGUUGGAGAGGUAACGGCUCACCAAGGCGAUGAUGGGUAGCCGGCCUGAGAGGGUGAACGGCCACAAGGGGACUGAGACACGGCCCUUACUCCUACGGGAGGCAGCAGUGGGGAAUAUUGGACAAUGGACCAAGAGUCUGAUCCAGCAAUUCUGUGUGCACGAUGAAGUUUUUCGGAAUGUAAAGUGCUUUCAGUUGGGAAGAAAAAAAUGACGGUACCAACAGAAGAAGUGACGGCUAAAUACGUG
rnacentral:rRNA from 1 species